UACAGAGGGUGCGAGCGUUGUCCGGAAUCACUGGGCGUAAAGGGCGCGUAGGCGGCCCCUUAAGCGUGCGGUGAAAGCCCGGGGCUCAACCCCGGGUCGGCCGUGCGGACUGGGGGGCUGGAGCCGAUCAGAGGCAGGCGGAAUUCCGGGUGUAGCGGUGGAAUGCGUAGAGAUCCGGAAGAACACCGGUGGCGAAGGCGGGUCUCUGGGCAGUAACUGACGCUGAGGAGCGAAAGCGUGGGGAGCGAACAGG
rnacentral:rRNA from 1 species